rnacentral:rRNA from 1 species
UACGUAGGGGGCGAGCGUUGUCCGGAUUUAUUGGGCGUAAAGAGCGUGUAGGCGGUUCGGUAAGUCUGUCGUGAAAUCCUGAGGCUCAACCUGGGGCGUGCGAUGGAUACUGCCGGGCUAGAGGAUGGUAGAGGCGAGUGGAAUUCCCGGUGUAGCGGUGAAAUGCGCAGAUAUCGGGAGGAACACCAGUAGCGAAGGCGGCUCGCUGGGCCAUUCCUGACGCUGAGACGCGAAAGCUAGGGGAGCGAACAGG